AUUGAACGCUGGCGGCAUGCCUUACACAUGCAAGUCGAACGGCAGCACGGGAGCAAUCCUGGUGGCGAGUGGCGAACGGGUGAGUAAAGUAUCGGAACGUGCCCAGUCGUGGGGGAUAACGUAGCGAAAGUUACGCUAAUACCGCAUACGAUCUAUGGAUGAAAGCGGGGGAUCGCAAGACCUCGCGCGAUUGGAGCGGCCGAUAUCAGAUUAGGUAGUUGGUGGGGUAAAGGCUCCCCAAGCCGACGAUCUGUAGCUGGUCUGAGAGGACGACCAGCAACACUGGGACUGAGACACGGCCCAGACUCCUACGGGAGGGAGCAGUGGGGAAUUUUGGACAAUGGGCGCAAGCCUGAUCCAGCCAUGCCGCGUGCAGGAUGAAGGCUUUCGGGUUGUAAACUGCUUUUGUACGGAACGAAAAGGUUUGACUGAAUACGUUGGACUCAUGACGGUACCGUAAGAAUAAGCACCGGCUAACUACGUGCCAGCCGCCGCGGUAA
rnacentral:rRNA from 1 species